rnacentral:rRNA from 1 species
GAUGAACGCUAGCGGCAGGCUUAACACAUGCAAGUCGAGGGGUAUAGUAGCAAUACUAGAGACCGGCGCACGGGUGCGUAACGCGUAUGCAAUCUACCUUUUGCAGAGGGAUAGCCCAGAGAAAUUUGGAUUAAUACCUCAUAGUAUAGCGACAUCGCAUGAUGAUGCUAUUAAAGUCACAACGGCAAAAGAUGAGCAUGCGUCCCAUUAGCUAGUUGGUAAGGUAACGGCUUACCAAGGCAACGAUGGGUAGGGGUCCUGAGAGGGAGAUCCCCCACACUGGUACUGAGACACGGACCAGACUCCUACGGGAGGCAGCAGUGAGGAAUAUUGGACAAUGGGCGCAAGCCUGAUCCAGCCAUGCCGCGUGCAGGAUGACGGUCCUAUGGAUUGUAAACUGCUUUUGUACAGGAAGAAACAUUGGUUCGUGAACCAGCUUGACGGUACUGUAAGAAUAAGGAUCGGCUAACUCCGUG